CCAAUACCAUGCUAAAUAUACCGGUUCUCGUUAGAUCACCGAAGUCAAGCAUCAUUGGGCGCGGUCAGUACUUGGGUGGGUGACCACCUGGGAACACCGCGUGCCGUU
rnacentral:rRNA from 1 species